UAAUCACCGCUUUAAGAGGACUUAAGGGAAUAUCGUCGGGAUAGGUAGUUGUUAAGGUUGUUACUUAACAAGCCUAAAUUCUCGUAGUCGAAUCUGAAAGGUUGAUCGACCACAUUGGGUCUGAAAAAACCCCAAG